UGUGACUUGGAAACGAAAAUU
rnacentral:piRNA from 1 species